AAGCGGAGGAAAAGAAACUAACAAGGAUUCCCCUAGUAACGGCGAGGGAAGAGGGAAGAGCCCAAGAUUGAAAGCUGGCGUCUUCGGCGUCCGCAUUGUAAUCUCAAGAAGUGUUUUCCGCUUCGGACCAUGCCUAAGUCCCUUGGAAAAGGGCAUCAUAGAGGGUGAUAAUCCCGUACAUGGCAUGGAGCGCCCGAAGCUUUGUGAUACGCUUUCUAAGAGUCGAGUUGUUUGGGAAUGCAGCUCAAAAUGGGUGGUAAAUGCCAUCUAAGGCUAAAUAUUGGGGAGAGACCGAUAGCGAACAAGUACAGUGAUGGAAAGAUGAAAAGAACUUUGAAAAGAGAGUUAAACAGUACGUGAAAUUGCCAAAAGGGAAGGGUAGGAGGUCAGAGAUGCGGCCUGGGAUUCAGCCUUGCUUUUGCUUGGUGGUUUUCCCAGAUUGCAGGCCAACGUCGGUUUUGGGCACUGGAGAAGGGUGGGAGGAACGUGGCACCCCUCGGGGUGUGUUAUAGCCUCCUACUGGAUACAGCGACCGAGACCGAGGACAGCAGCGUACUCGCAAGAGCGGGCCUUCGGGCACCUUUACGCUUAGGGCGUUGGCAUAAUGGCCCUCUACCACCCGUCUUGAAACACGGACCAAGGAGUCU
rnacentral:rRNA from 1 species